rnacentral:RNase_P_RNA from 1 species
GUUAAAUGGUCGCUAAUUGAAAAAAUUAGAGGAAAGUCCGGGCAGUAUAGAGCAAGACAGUUGCUAACGGCAACCGAGGGAAACCUUAGGGAAAGUGCCACAGAAACGAUACCGCCUGAAAAGGUAAGGGUGAAAGGAGUGAGGUAAGAGCUCACAGUCGCUCACGGUGACGUGAAGCGAGAGGUAAACCCUGUCUACUGCAAGGAGAAUUAUAAAAUAUGGUUGCUCGCCAUAAUUCGAUAACCGCUUGAUUUAAGGAGUAAUUCUUAAACUAGAUAGAUGACCAUUCACGACAGAACCCGGCUUACAGACAAGCUUU